rnacentral:rRNA from 1 species
AUGCGCCAGCUAAGGCUCGUCACCAACAUGAGGGCUCAUAAUGACACCUGGUUUGCCGAUUACUUGCUAAGGGUAGGCAAUGGCACUGAGGAAGUUGACGAUCAAGGAAACAUGCGACUCCCUGAAGAUAUUUGUGUGUCGUCUACAGGCGAGGGUGACGACCUAGAGAAGCUGAUUGACCAUGUGUUUUCGAGACUAGAUGACAACCAGUCCGAUCCGAAUUACAUGACUUCACGCGCAAUCCUCUCCACCACGAACGACAACGCCGACAAGAUAAACAUACGCAUGGUAGAGCGUUUUCGGGGAGAAGAAGUAAUCUAUCAUAGCUUUGACAGUGCAUAA